GGAAUAUUGGUCAAUGGGCGAAAGCCUGAACCAGCAACGCCGCGUGAGGGAUGAAGGCCUUCGGGUCGUAAACCUCUUUUCUGGGAGACGAGACAAGGACGGUAUCCCAGGAAUCAGUCUCGGCUAACUACGUGCCAGCAGCCGCGGUAAAACGUAGGAGGCAAGCGUUAUCCGGAUUUACUGGGCGUAAAGCGCACGCAGGCGGCUGCGUAAGUCGGACGUGAAAGCUCCUGGCUCAACUGUGAGAGGUCGUUCGAAACUGUGUGGCUGGAGGCUGGAGGGAGAGAGCGGAAUGCGCGGUGUAGUGGUGGGUUGCGUAGAUAGCGGCAGCAGCAGCAGUAGCGCAAGCGGCUCUCUGGUCCACACCUGACGCUCAGGUGCGAA
rnacentral:rRNA from 1 species